CAGCCUAUUUCUUUUUCCAAGCCAUUUCUCUAAUGCGUCAAGUUUGUUUUGAAGUUUGAGCCCAUGCUCCAAAGUGCUCGAAAUCCCUCCCAGCUUGGUAUCAUUUGCAGCUGCAAUAAGCAAAUUUUCUAUUCAUGCAAGUAAUUAUUAACAAAAUAUUUUGAACAGUACCAGGCCUGGGACAGCUCCCCAGGGACUCCUGGGCUGUGGAUCUCCUUGGAUCCAUGGCACAGCGUAAAUAACUCCUCCAGGCACUGUUCCCUCCUACAGCCCUGCUUGCCUCCAGUUCCGCGUCACCAUCCCCUGCAACCUCUCCCAUUCACCACGUCUGGAUUUUAAAAUGCUCACCAAUGACAAAUCUGGAUAUGAUUUUUGGACUACCUCCCACAGCCAUCACUUUUGAUGAGGAAGGAAAGUUCACUGCUUUUCCAGGGAGGAAAGGACACAGGAGGCUCAGGGUGAGGUGGGACGCCCUCAGCUAGAGCAAUGGCAGUGCUUAGGGCCGCGUGCCGACCAUCCUCUAUGCCACCACAACCUGCCCGUGUCCCUGGACGGCCUCAAUGAACCUCAUCCAACACCCAAAACCCUUUUAUUAAAAAAAAAAAAUCUUCCUUCCCUCAAUUAGAGGCAAAGGGAAAAAAAGAAGAAGAAUUGGGGUCAACGCGAAGCAGCCGUAUUUCAGCCGUCCUUUGGGAGCCGAUCUGCGCUCACACUGUGGGUGUUCUCAUUGCACACACUGAACAGGAGCCGUUUUCCCUUAGUAGGACAGGCUCUGUGCUGCAGCCCUUCUCGCCCGGCCAUAAAAGGGCAGCGAUUUCGGUGCGACCCCCGGGCCCUCCCGGCCUGGUCGGCCGCAUCCCGGCGCUGCUGCUUCCAACCUCCUCGCCUUUGGCUCGCUCUUCUCUCACGCCUUUUGUUUUGUCUCUCUCCUCCUCUCUGGAGGCUGCAGGGAUUGAGGCCAGAGAGCCUCCAGGAAUGUUCUUGCCUUCCCUAUUUUUUUUUUUUCCCCUCUCUCUCUCUCUCUCUUGGCCUGAUGUGAUCCCUGCCUUUCCAUGCUCCCUGUGCCUGCCCAGAAAAUCAGUUGCUGGGUGAAAACCAGUUGCUGGGCCAGCAGUACAUCCCCAAAGGGUCGGCUGUCCCCCUUCAUCCUGUGGGUGAGGCCCUGCCCACCUGCAGGGCUCUUCCACCCCCUGCUCCGCUCUGUGCUGCGGCCUGAUUGGGUGCUGCCAUGUCAGAAGGACAUGGAGCUGUUAUGGAGCAUCCAAAGGAGGGCUGCGGAGAUGGGGAAGGGUCUGCAGGGCAAGGGGUGUGAGGAGAGCUGAGGAUCCUGGGCUUGUUGGGCCCAGAGCAGAGGAGGCUGAAGGGAGGGCCCUUGGCAGCUGCAGCUCCUCAUGGCCAUACAGCUCCUCAUGGCCCUGCAACCCCUCAUGGGCCUACAGCCCCACACAGCCCUGCAGCCCCUCACGGCCCUGCAGCCCCUCACGGCCCUACAGCCCCUCACGGCCCUACAGCCCCUCACGGCCCUACAGCCCCUCACGGCCCUACAGCUCCACUCAGGGGAACAGAGGGACAGGUGCUUCCCUAGAGGAGCAAAACUAUGGGAAGACAAUGCGAAACAUCAGAGAUCAGUUAAACCAGGGCAGCGUGAACCUCUCCUGGUUCCCCAGGAUCGUUGCCAGCCCCCAUAUUGUUGCCCAUCUGCAGGAGAUGGCCCUUUUGUGGUACCCAUAUUUCUAUAUCACCAGGGUCUUCCUGCUUUUGUUCCUCACCUACCCUUAUCCCUAGGGCUUCCCUGUCACUGGAGAACCCAUCCAUUGAAAUCAUGGAAUCAUUAAGACUGGAAAAGACCUCUGAGAUCCCCAAGUCCACCCCAACCCACCCCACCAUGCCCACUGACCACGUCUCUCAGUGCCACAUCUCUAUUAGGGUUCUGGAACGCCUCCAGGGAUGGUGACCCCACCACCUCCUUGGGCACUGCCAUUCAUUCUGAGAAGAAAUGUUUCCUAAUACCCAACUGGAACCUCCUCAUGUGCAGCCUGAGGCCAUUACCCCUCAUCCUAUCACUGUAACAUGGGUGAAGAGGACAACCCCCACCUCUCUACCACCUCCUUUCAGGUUGUAGUCUCCUCCAGGCUGAACCAUCCCAGUUCCUUCAGCCACUCCCUACAAACUUGUGCUUCAGACCCUUCACAGCUCCAUUGCCCUUCUCUGGACAUGUUCCAGGGCCUCAAUAAAAUUCCCCAAUGGCAACAGUGGGAAAUGAACUGAACUUAGGGCUGCUGUGCUGGGGUCCUUCUGCAGGGAGCCGGAACCCAUUACCAUUUUGAUAGUCUAUGCAAGAUGUGACAGGGCCAAGUCCCAGCCAGCACAACCUAAGAAGCCUGCAGACCUUCCAGAUCCUUGCAGGAAGGCACCAAGAGCAUGGAGUUAUCCUCUUUCAGAAACCCCAACAGAUGAUGAGGAGGGAAAAACACUCCCAGAAGAGAGCUCUGUUGUCCACGUGCUGGUGUGGGGAUCCCACACCAUGUCAACCCCCACAGAAGUAAGUGUCCCAUGUCUUACUCUGCUGGAACCACAGAACCACAGAAUCAGUUGAGUUGGAAGGGACACUUAAAUCUGGUCCAACUCCCUGCAGUGAACACAGACACCUACAGCUCCAUCAGCUGCUCAGAGCCUGACCAUGAGUGGACCAAGGAUGGGUCUUCCACUGCAUCGACCACAUCCACCACAGGAGCAGGAGAAGAGGUGGCUUAAGCAGGUUGGAAGGAUGGACAUGGACACGUCCUUCCCCAUCAAGCUCUCCCUUGACUCUCUGCAUUACAACAGCCACAGACCUGACCACAUCACCUCUCCCACUCAGCAAAGUCACUGCACGGGGUUGGGUGGGAUCCCACCAAACUGGGUUGGGUGAGGUUUGCUGGGAGAUACAGGAAGUCGGUUCAGCAAAUUCCACGUGAGCCCAUGAGUGGUGUUGGCCAACAAAACCACAUGUGCUUCAUCUUUUAGGAAUGUUGCUGUAGUCACCGUUGUCAAAUGAAGUUUUUCACCAAAAUGUGUUGUUGGCUGUGUCUGGAGCUCCUCCUGGGACAUUCCUCCUCGUGUUGAUGGCAGCGGCCUUUGAGGGAACAGCUUCUCCUAUAUCACAGAGGAAAAAGUGUGGAUGGCAAAGACCAGGUCUCCGUUUGCGGGGUGGGCUCUGCGUCACAAAAAGUGCAGGGACCUCCUGGGAGCCCACCAGAUGGUCUUUGCCCAUACCCAGCACCCCUCUCCCUGCAGACCUGUGAGCUCCAUAUCUCAGAGGGCUUCAGGCUGCUCCCACCCCUGUCCUGUCUGCAGGAUUUGGGCUCUGGGAUGGAGCUCAACCCCUACUCCCAUCUCAGCCUUCAUCUCACCCUCACCCCGUCGGUGUCCGCGUGUCCGCUGGGUGUCCUCCAGCAUCUCAUGGAGCUCUUGGAAACGCUUCCAGGCGCUGAGACACGUAGGGCAGGCCAAGCACUCAUCCUGGGAAGAGCUCUGCGAUACGGGAAAAGUGCCGGUCGUCUCGGCCAGGAU
ensembl:lncRNA